GGGCAAACACUAAUGAGCCAUCUUUCUUAAAGCAUGAAUACAUAUGGGCCGUCAAGGCCUAUGACAUACUGUACAAAAUGAACCUCUAUCUACAAAGCCUCUAAGAUUAUUUGACAUCAAAUGGGACAGGGAACCGGUCUACACAUAAGUCUGUAGCAAAAUUCUGACACGAUGACUCAUAGACUCGGCUGCACUCCGAAUGAGGUGGAGUCUUACCGAUUCUUCGCUGAAUGCCAAUCUCGUCUACUAUGAGGGAUCGUCAAACUGAUUAUCUAUACCUGCAGGCAUGAAUACAGCGCCCCCAGCAAAAGGACAUCAGUACGAAUAUUGUACUGAGUAUGUAAGGCAGAACUGAAACAUAACAUUCAUUAAAGACAUAUAAGAAUCAACCUGAAUCUCUGAAGUGCCACCGUAUAUGCAUACUUAUUAUACUUACAAAUAUAAUGCUUCUCUUCGAGACUAUNNNNNNNNNNNNNNNNNNNNNNNNNGCUCGAUGGUAAAUGUGUAACUGCCCAACCGGUGAUAAAUAAUGAUACAUAACUGCCCAAUCGGUGGUAACUUCCCGACCGGCCGUAGCUCGGUGGUAAAUGAAGAUGCAUGUCUACCCAACCGGCCGUAGCACAGUGGUAAAUAAAUAUGCAGGAAGAUGCAUGUAUUACUACAUUAAAAACAUUAACAUUUUUAAAAAAUUCCUCCACAGAGAAUUAAGAACAUACUUAGAGAUGCUUGAAUAUAACUUUACAGAAAUGAAUAACAUAGACAUCCUUAACUGCUAAGAGUAGAACCACUUAUGGAAUAGCAUUACGUUUAUUUAUCGUUACUUGGAUCAUGCCAAAAGGAAAUAAGGGAUAUCCUUAACAUACCUAGACCCUUAAGAAAUUGAGACCUGAGCCGCAUGAACCAUCUUGAGAAGGUUCAAGAUUUCAAUAUCUUGGACAUGCUUCAUACGUUCUUAACCAAACAUAAAACAUACAUAAAAUAUUUACAUUCUACAAGAUGAAGUAAACACUUUAUCUCUUAGAUUUUGGUGAUUCAUGGAGACUUUAAACAUAAUCUUUUAUAUUAGUAGUAUGGGCCUACUUAGUAGAUGAGUUAUCCCUCUAAAUUCCACCUUUUAUAUGAAUGUAAGAGUCACUUAGUUAAUGUUAUAUGGCUGCCACGUGAAAGACUUUUUAAUUUUAUCCAAAUAAACUAAUUAAUUAGUUAAUCUUCCAUUAAAAUUACUAAUUAUCCAAUUGUUCACAUAAUUAAAAAUUAUCUCAAAUUACUUAAAAUACUACUCACUUCUAACACACUUUAUAUAACUUACUAUAAUGGUCAUGUGGUACCAUAUAAAAUAAAUACAUACAUUAUUAUUUCAUUAAAACAUCCAUGUAAAUAUAUAUACAUAUAUAUUCUCAACUUUUAAUUUUUCUAAUCUCAUAUAAAGAGUAUUACGCUUAAUUCUUAAAAUGGUAAAAAAGAUAACCUUCUUUUCUUGUGAGAAAAUAAUUUCUAUCUUUUACAAUAAAAGAAUCUCAUNNNNNNNNNNNNNNNNNNNNNNNNNAUAAAUCAUAUUUUUUAAUUUUUUUUUUUAUUUUACAAAAAUAUUUCACUCAAAAUACUACAUCAAACGUAUUUUCUUAACUCAACUUGAACCCCUAAAUGAUACUCGCGACUGAGCCAUACACAAUAUCAAGGCAAAAAGGUGUAAUGUAAUAAACAGUCUUAUGUCCGUUCACACUCAUUUGAAGCUAGCUGUAAUUUACGCUACUGCUGUCUAAACAUAGUACAAACUAAUUCUCAAUGCUAUGCUAUCUAAACAUAGUACAAUCUAAUUCUCUAAUAUGAGAAACCAGAGUAUCUACAAAUAACAGUUUCAAGGUUGUUAAAUUUACGGUGUCUUAAAUAACAUAGUCAUAAAUCCUCUAUAAUCUCAUGAAUGAUCUUAAUCCCUUCAAGCUCAUAUGGAUUACUAUGACUUAUCCUAAUAUUAAGGUACGGGAUGUAACAUCCUUCCUCUAAGAUUAUUUGACAUCAAAUGAGACACGUUACCGGUCUACCCAUAAGUCUGUAGCAAAACUCUGACACGAUGACUCAUAGACUGGGCUGCACUCCGAAUGAGGUGGAGUCUUACCGAUUCUUCGUUGAAUGCCAAUCUCAUCUACUAUGAGGGAUCAUCAAACUGAUUAUCUAUACCUGCAGGCAUGAAUGCAGCGUCCCCAGUAAAAGGACAUCAAUACGAAUAAUGUAUUGAGUAUGUAAGGCAGAACUGAAACAUAACAUUAAUUAAAGACAUAAGAAUCAACCCGAAUCUCUGAAGUGCCACCGUAUAUGCAUACUUAUUAUACUUACAUAUAGAAUGCUUCUCUUUGAAACUAUUUCUAUUAUCUAUAUCAUAUGACGCAUGACUGCCCAACUGAUCAGUAUUAACUUCCCGACCGGCCGUAGCGCGGUGGUAAAUGCAUGACUGCCUGAUCGGCGGUAACUCGGUGGUAAAUGUAUAACUGCCCAACCGAUGGUAAAAAAUGAUACAUAACUGCCCAACCGGUGGUAACUGCCUGACCGGCCGUAACUCGGUGGUAAAUAAAGAUGCAUGUCUGCCCAACCGGCCGUAGCACGGUGGUAAAUGAAUAUGCAGGAAGAUGCAUGUAUUACUAUAUUAAAAAAAUUAACAUUUUUAACAAAUACCUCCGUAGAGAAUUAAGAACAUACUUAGAAAUGGUUGAAUAUAACUUUACAGGAAUGAAUAACAUAGACAUUCUUAACUGCUAAGAGUAGAAUCACUUAUGAAAUAGCAUUACGUUACGUAUCGUUACUUGGAUCAUUCCAAAAGAAAAUAAGGGAUAACCUUAAUAUACCUGGACCCUUAAGCAAUUGAGACCUGAGCCGCAUAAACCAUCUUGAGAAGGUUCAAGAUUUCAAUAUCUUGGACAUGCUUGAUAUGUUCUUAACCAAACAUAAAACAUACAUAAAAUAUUUACAUUCUACAAGAUGAAGUAAACACUCUAUCUCUUAGAUUUUGGUGAUUCAUGGAGACUUUAAACAUAAUCUUUUAUAUUAGUGGUAUGGGCCUACUUAGUAGAUGAGUUAUCCCUCUAGAUGCCACCUUUUAUAUGAAUGUAAGAGUCACUUAGUUAAUGUUAUAUGGCUGCCACGUGAAAGACUUAUUAACCGUAUCCAAAUAAACUAAUUAAUUACUUAAUCUUUCACUAAAAUUAUUAGUUACCCAAUUAUUCACAUACUUAAGAAUUAUCUCAAAUUACUUAAAAUACUACUCGUUUUUAACACACUUUAUAAAACUUACUAUCAUGGUCAUGUGGUACCAUAUAAAAUAAAUACAUACACUAUUAUUUCAUUAAAACAUCCAUAUAAAAAUAUAUAUAUUUUCUCAACUUCUAAUUUUUCUAAUCUCAUAUAUAGAGUAAAAAUUUCCGUACGCUUAAUUCUUAAAAUGGUAAAAAAGAUAACCUUCUUUUCUUGUGAGAAAAUAAUUUCUAUCUUUUACAAUAAAGAAAAUCUCAUAAACUUUCUCAUAUUAUGUGUAUAAUUUAAAGCAUAUUCGAAAGUAGUAAUAUUAAUAAUUAUAUAAAAUCAUAUUUUUUAAAUUUUUUUUUUAUUUUAUAAAAAUAUUUCACUCAAAAUACUACAUCAAACGUAUUUUCUUAACUCAACUUGAACUCCUAAAUGAUACUCGCGACUGAGCCAUACACAAUAUCAAGGCAAAAAGGUGUAAUGUAAUAAACAGUCUUAUGUCCGUUCACACUCAUUUGAAGCUAGCUGUAAUUUACGCUACUGCUGUCUAAACAUAGUACAAACUAAUUCUCAAUGCUAUGCUAUCUAAACAUAGUACAAUCUAAUUCUCUUAUAUGAGAAACCAGAGUAUCUACAAAUAACAGUUUCAAGGUUGUUAAAUUUAUGGUGUCUUAAAUGACAUAGUCAUAAAUCCUCUAUAAUCUCAUGAAUGAUCUUAAUCCCUUCAAGCUCAUAUGGAUUACUAUAAUUUAUCCUAAUAUUAAGAUACGGGAUGUAACAUCCUUCCCUCCUUUAAAAUAUUCGUCCUCGAAUGUUAACUCUUAGAGAUUUACAAAAUUCCUCACUAGGGUCUCCUUUAUAAACUAAACUAAAAUCCAAACUAUAUCUGAAGUCUCGACAAUUCACACCCCUUUUGUACUUGAGUAUCUGGUAACUUCUUCACCUUUACCUUACUUUCUCCUCAAUCUCGCAGCGUAUUUUCUGUUUCUUUCAUACCCUCCCUUCAACAUAGGUAGGAAUUACGCCUUAAAGCUCUAUUGUGAUACCUGCACCUCUGGUGCAUACAAAAUCUGGCGAAAGCUUCAUAUUGAUUUCUUACGACUCAGCUUUAUGGCACGGUCUGGAAACGAAAGAAAGGUAACAUUUCCUAAAUUUCCUAUAGACUCUCAGUUAUAAAUGUGGCACGCAACACACCCAUAAGUGAUACUCUAUUAGGCACGGCUUUGUAGACUCCCUAGGACACGACCCGCUCUGAUACCACUUUAUCACGGCCCAAACCUGGGGAGGCGUGGCUGGCACUCGGUGCCGUGCUGGCCCGAGCGAACCACUCUGCAAAUCCUUUUUUCUUUAUAACUAUCAUGGGCCAAUAUGACCACAACUCGUAAUGUAUAACUAUAAGUCGACAAACACUGUAUUAAUGAGCCAUCUUUCUUAAAGCAUGAAUACAUAUGGGCUGUCAAGGCCUCUAAUAUACUGUAGAAAAUGAACCUCUGUCUACAAAGCCUCUAAGAUUAUUUGACAUCAAAUGGGACACGUUACCGGUCUACCCAUAAGUCUGUAGCAAAACUCUGACACGAUGACUCAUAGACUCGGCUGCACUCCGAAUGAGGUGGAGUCUUACCGAUUCUUCGCUGAAUGCCAAUCUCAUCUACUAUGAGGGAUCAUCAAAUUGAUUAUCUACACCUGCAGGCAUGAAUGCAGC
rnacentral:lncRNA from 1 species